GACGAACGCUGGCGGCGUGCCUAAUACAUGCAAGUAGAACGCUGAAGGAGGAGCUUGCUUCUCUGGAUGAGUUGCGAACGGGUGAGUAACGCGUAGGUAACCUGCCUGGUAGCGGGGGAUAACUAUUGGAAACGAUAGCUAAUACCGCAUAACAGUAGAUAUCGCAUGAUAGCUGCUUGAAAGGUGCAAUUGCACCACUACCAGAUGGACCUGCGUUGUAUUAGCUAGUUGGUGGGGUAACGGCUCACCAAGGCAACGAUACAUAGCCGACCUGAGAGGGUGAUCGGCCACACUGGGACUGAGACACGGCCCAGACUCCUACGGGAGGCAGCAGUAGGGAAUCUUCGGCAAUGGACGGAAGUCUGACCGAGCAACGCCGCGUGAGUGAAGAAGGUUUUCGGAUCGUAAAGCUCUGUUGUAAGAGAAGAACGAGUGUGAGAGUGGAAA
rnacentral:rRNA from 1 species